rnacentral:rRNA from 1 species
AGAGUGAACGCUGGCGGCAGGCCUAAUACAUGCAAGUCGAACGGCAGCACAGCAGAGCUUGCUCUGUGGGUGGCGAGUGGCGGACGGGUGAGGAAUACAUGGGAAUCUGCCCAGUCGUGGGGGAUAACGUAUGGAAACGUACGCUAAUACCGCAUGCCGCCCGUUCGGGGGAAAGCCGGGGACCUUCGGGCCUGGCGCGAUUGGAUGAGCCCAUGUCGGAUUAGCUAGGUUGGACGGGGUAAAGCCUACCGAAGGCGAACGAUCCGUAGCUGGUCUGAGAGGAU